GACGAACGCUGGCGGCGCGCUUAACACAUGCAAGUCGAGCGAAGCGGCGGACGGGUGAGUAACACGUGAGUAACCUGCCUUAGAAAUUGGGAUAGCCUCGGGAAACCGGGAUUAAUAACAAAUGGUCUAAGAUGGACUAGCGUCCCAUUAGCUAGUUGGGAGGGAACGGCCCACCAAGGCGCCGAUGGGUAGCCGGCCUGAGAGGGUGAACGGCCACCUUGGAACUGAGAAUCGGUCCAAACUCUACGGUGGGCCGCAGUGGGGAAUAUUGCACAAUGGAGGGAACUCUGAUGCCUCGACGCCGCGUGAACGAAGAAGGCUGUCGAGUCGUAAAGUUCUUUGAUAUGGGAAGCGGUACCAUAAGAAAAAGCCCCGGCUAACUACGUGCCAGCCGCCGCGGUAAUUC
rnacentral:rRNA from 1 species